UAUAUUCCACCGGAAAUUAUAUUGUGUUUAGUGCUAUUUAACUUAAACAGCUAAUUGAUCUAUAGAUGAAUAGGUUACAGGAAUCAACCACCCAUCAAUUAUUUCACAAAUACCUAACUCUCUGUCAGCAUGUGAUAAUUAACAUCUGUCCUAAAGAGAACAUGGUUUCGUAGGUGACACAAGCAGCUCUGAGAAACACUCACAACCUUCAACUGCAACACAUAUACAAGCUUACAUAUACAAGAUGCUACCCAGUUGAAAUUAUAAUUCCUAAUUUGCAAUAUUCAAUUGCAAACGACUGAAGCUUCUCAACAAACACUAGGCCCUCUGGCUGAAGUUUGCGAAGCCAGGAUGGGGUUGCCCAUUGAGAGUCUGGUUGUUGGUGGA
rnacentral:misc_RNA from 1 species